GAUGAACGCUAGCUACAGGCUUAACACAUGCAAGUCGAGGGGUAACGAGAGGAAAGCUUGCUUUCCUUGUUGACGACCGGCGCACGGGUGAGUAACGCGUAUCCAACCUGCCCCCAACUAGGGAAUAACCUUGCGAAAGUAAGACUAAUACCCUAUAAUUUCCUCAGAUGUCAUCUGACGAGGAAUAAAGAUUUAUCGGUUGUGGAUGGGGAUGCGUCUGAUUAGCUUGUUGGCGGGGUAACGGCCCACCAAGGCAACGAUCAGUAGGGGUUCUGAGGGGAAGGUCCCCCACAGUGGAACUGAGACACGGUCCAAACUGCUACGGGAGGCAGCAGUGAGGAAUAUUGGUCAAUGGGCGGAAGCCUGAACCAGCCAAGUAGCGUGCAGGAUGACGGCCCUAUGGGUUGUAAACUGCUUUUAUACAGGAAUAAAGUUAGCCACGUGUGGUUAUUUGUAGGUACUGUAUGAAUAAGGACCGGCUAAUUCCGUGCCAGCAGCCGCCGUAA
rnacentral:rRNA from 1 species